GGGAGCAGGAUGGCAGAGGGGCAGGGCCUUCGAGAACAGGUGUGAACCCAGCCUUCAGUGGGGGAAACAGGAGGCAGAGCCCUCCCCAUGGCCGUAGUCACACGCCGCACCACGUACACACCGUAUCAAUGUUUAUUGCCCUCAAGAGAAACUCCAGUCCACCUGCUUCACCCGCCCUCCUUUGGGACCAAAGAAAACGCCCAGAGGGCAAAA